rnacentral:rRNA from 1 species
AAUGAACGCUGGCGGCAUGCCUUAUACAUGCAAGUCGAGCGAACGGACGAGAAGCUUUGUUCGCUGAUGUUAGCGGCGGGAGGGGGAGUAACAUGCGGCUAACCUAGCUAUAAGACUGGGAUAACCUCGUGAAACCAUAACUAAUACCGGAUAAUAUUUUGAACCGCAUGGUUCAAAAGCGAAAGACGUUCUUGCAGUCGAUCAUAGAUUGUUCCAUUUUGCAUUAGCUAGUUGGUAAGGUAACGGCUUACCAAGGCAACGAUGCAUAGCCGACCUGAGAGGGUGAUCGGCCACACUGGAACUGAGACACGGUCCAGACUCCUACGGGAGGCAGCAGUAGGGAAUCUUGCGCAAUGGGCGAAAGCCUGACGGAGCAAUGCCGCGUGAGUGAUGAAGGUCUUCGGAUUGUAAAACUCUGUUAUUCGGGAAGAAAAGACGUGUAAGUAUCUGUGCACAUCAUGACGGUACCUAAUCAGAAAGCCCCGGCUAACUACGUG